rnacentral:misc_RNA from 1 species
GCCAUCAAGAAAGAAGUAGAUCGGAACUUUCCAGCUUUGAUCUAUUUCAUCAUCUGUCUACCAUGCGUCCUCUGUCUCCGUCAGCUUCACCUCCAGGCUUGAUGAGUUCCUGUGGGACUGAUGGUGAAAUCUUUUUGGUCCUCCACCAGAUUAACCGUGGAUCGCCCAUCCCUGAUGAUUUGAUUGAGUUUAAUCCCUAUCAGUAUGAUCCUUCAAAUUUGCCAGAUGGAGCAUGGUUCCUAGUGAGAAAAACUGAGGAAAAAUCGACGGAAUAUGGACUCUGGAGAGUGAAAGAUUCAGCCUGUGAAAUUUUUGCAAAUUCUGAUAUCAGUGGUUGGAGAACCACUUAUGAAUUUUUUCAAGUCCAAGCCUCUAUCGAGCAGAAAACUGUCUAUAUAAUGCAUGAGUAUAAAGUAACACCGAAAGGGCAGCGUGUUCUGACCAAGUCACAGGAGUCUUCAAUUUGUAGAUUUUUUGGUUUGUGGAAUGAUGCAGAGCACGACGAUGUACGUCACCUAUUGAGCUAUUUUAGCUUUAUCCCAUCAGUUAACCCAGACACUAGCGGUAACGAUGGGCAACGUUCAAUUGCUGAACCCCAGGUAAACGGACAGAUAGAAGGGGCUGGGUCAUCACUCGUUGACAAAUGGAUAGAUCAGUCUGAGAUAGAUUGCAUUAUGCGAGGGGACUACCUGGAAUUGAAUGACCUUAUUGAUGGAGCAUCACAUGAUUCCUCUAGUUCAGAGAAUACAAGUCGCCAGAGCUUCGUGUCUGAUGAUUUUUUCAACUCUCGGGCACUUCUUGCGGAACUAGAUGAUGAGAAGAAGGAAGAUUUGA